GGAAUUUUUGAUGGCAACUUUGUUUCCUGAGGUCUUCAAGUUUGGAUACUUUCUUGAGCCUUGUAGCUGAACAGGUAGACAUAGCUCAUGACAGGUGAAAACCACCCCAGCAAUGUCACUACUUGGACAGCCAGAAGAGGCAUUUAAAGCAGUUUGAGAAAAGGCAUGGAAGCCUGAGAAGUGAGGAAACAUAUUGCUGUAUCAUGUACAACUGAAGUCAGUGAGAGCUGGAUCAGGACUCAAACUGGCAAAGAGUGCAGGAUGCACGUAAAGGACCUUUGCAAAUAAAUGGAGAGCUGUGCCGUGCUUCCUCACCAUGAACAGCUCCUGUCACAUGACAGCCUUCUCCAACCCAGUGACAUGACUUGCAUGAGUUAGGAGGACCGAAUCCAGCUUAGGGAAACUGAUGGACUAUGGAUAGAAACAUCUCUGAAAUUUAUUUCAAGAUGAGUCCUCACAAAUACAGCUACACUUCUGUUUUUUCCCAAGCUUUACAGGAAAUUUUAUCAGAAAUGUCAGCUACCAAGGAAAAACAGAGAUGACAAAGUCUGAUUUCAUCAUGAAAGGAAAGUCUGUGCAAUUAUGAAGUCAUAUUACCAGAAUCAGAAAUCUUACUGUCAUUCUUCAGGCAAGAUCACUGACAAAAACACAAUCUCCUCCACUAACCUCACAGACUGUUUAUAUUCAAGGCUUACUGUAAAUGUAUGGUACUCUUAAAGUAGACAUAAUGUGCACUUUGCUUCUUCAAAGUGCUGUGCAAUCUUUCCUGAUUACUCCUCACAGCACUCCUGGGAGGUAGUUUAGAGACCCACGUAAGGCCACCAAGUAAAUGAACUAGGAUAAGAACAUGGCAGCGCCCAUCUCCUGGGGGUGGGUGUUGCCUGUUAGGCCACGCUGCUCUCCUAGGAAGGGAUCCUAAUAAAUUCCAAGCUUUAUGGGAAAGAUGUUCUAUUCAAAAACUUAAAAAUGUAAAGCACUCUCUGGAGUAGAAAAAGGAAACAGGAAUUCUCAUGUUAUCCUUUAUUCCAAGUUAACCCAAGAAACACAGUUGCAGUGGAACACAAUGUAGUCUAGAAGCAAAAUACAAUCAAUACAGAGGGGAAAAGCUCCUAUUAAAAAAGAGAUUUUUUUUAGUGAUUGAAACAAGUAUCUGGCUGAAACCUCAGAUUGCAACCAGAGGUGAUUAAUUUUUUCUCUCCCCUACUGUAUGAUGAAAACCAGAAAGCUAAAUAUUAAGCAAUGUCAUCUAAUGACAAUAUAUUUUUUCUCACAACGUUGUAAAAGUGGCAAAAUAUGGGUCUGUAAUUGCUAUUAGAAUUGCUAUUCAGUGGCUUGCUUACCACGCAGACUGCUUACUUCCCACAAGGGAGUGUUUUGGUACACCUGUGCUCCUGGAGAAUGAUGUUAGCACAAAAAUUCUCUUGCCUUUCCACAUGUAUUUGCUCACUUACAGUCUUUUCUAGACCUAGUUAAUGUUAUUUUAA